rnacentral:rRNA from 2 species
UUUGGUGGCGAUAGCGAAGAGGUCACACCCGUACCCAUACCGAACACGGAAGUUAAGCUCUUCAGCGCCGAUGGUAGUCGGGGGGUUCCCCCUGUGAGAGUAGGACGCCGCCAAGC